rnacentral:sRNA from 1 species
GCAGACAGGCAUACUCUGAGCCUCUCUCUACUUUCAACUUAUCUUCUCUGAUCUUCUUGUGCUCAGUACUUCUCGUCACCUCUGUUCUAUCUGCUUCUUCUCUUUGCGUUUCCCAUGUCCAUUACUUACUCUUUCUUAUCUUUAUCGCUCAGCACUCGCUUCACACUGGAUAUUGCCAAUGUUCUUGAUAUAUGAAGCAGUCAGCCCCCUCUCGAUUCUGAGGUUUUAAUAUAAAUAUAAAUUACAACCAUUUUCUCUUCGACCCCCCAAAUUAUAUCUGUGUAUUAUUCCGUACACCCACCUACACCGACUCCAUCUCUCUAUCUCCAUCAUCUCCAUCAUCUCCCCGCCAUCUCGGCCGAUUCUCCGCUCCCGCAAGAUUCCCGGAAAACGCGUUGCCGGGCAGCCAACCUGGCGCCACCAAGCUUCCCGCGGGAAACCACCCAACCCACCCACGGCUUCCCCGGCCCGGUCUGGGCCCCGGCUAUUGCAGGGAACCGUACGGUACGGUUCCGGCUACUGCUGGUGCUGGUAACAUCGUGCCCAACAACCGUCAGGAGGUUCCUCUCCUCCAACAGGAACAGGACCAGGUACAGGUACAUCCACAGAUACCAGCAACGCUCUGAUGCCGUGGUUCCGCGCCGGGAUCCCGUUGCGGCGGAUCGGGAAACUCGGCGCCGGAGAGGGCUUUUGGGGGACGUUAAAUACCGGCGACAUUCCCGCGAAGGAGCCAGGGACGGUGCAGGCAGGCUGGAGAGAGGGAGACAACACACGCCCUUUGACAUCGCAGCGGGCAUUAGGGACCAGGGGGGAUAGAUAUAUAGAUACCUAGAUAUCUAUCUGCAUAUAUACCCCUCUAUAUCUCACUCUAAAUCAGCCAUACUCCCCACUUGAAGAUACGUCAGUCGAAGAUACUUCCUUGUCGACCGUCCUUGAAUCUACAUACAUACCACUCCGCAGGAUGGGCAGCUACGGCGAGCCGCUGCUCGAGGAGAUGCACUCCCCGCCGUGGGAUCCCAAGUCGCCGCCGAAGCCAUGGACGGAGACGCCGCUGAUUGAGUCGGAGCCGCUGUCGAGGCUGGCUGGAUGCCGCAUAUUCCUCAAACUCGAGAACCUGCAGCCGGGCGGCUCUUUCAAGUCACGCGCCAUGGGCAACCUGAUCCUCCACCACCUCUCCCGCCCUGCCAACCACAACAAAAACCUCCACUUCUUCAUCCCCUCCGGCGGCAACGCCGGCAUCGCCGCCGUCACCGCCGCCCGCGCCCUCGGCUACCCCUGCACCGUCGUCGUGCCCACCUACACCUCGCCCAUGAUGCUGCAGCGCCUGCAGGCCGCCGGUGCCAUCACCGUCCCGCACGGCGCCAACAUCGACGUCGCCGCCGCCCACAUGCGCGACGUGCUCAUGGCCCAGAUGCAGGGCGCCGUCGGCCCGGACGGCCGUGAGCUCGUCGCCGUCGAGCUGCACCCCUUCGACCACGAGGCUAUCUGGGAGGGCGUCAGCUCCAUGGUCGACGAGCUGGCCGCACAGCUGCCCCCGGAUGCGAGCGGGCGCGCUUUCGCGGCCGACGCCGUCGUGUGCAGCGUCGGCGGCGGCGGGCUGAUGAACGGUAUCAUGCUUGGGAUCGAGCGGCUGUUGCGUGGUGGUAGUGGUGCUGGUGCUGGUGCUGGUGGUGCUGGUGACGGCGGGGGAAGCCGCGACGUGCAGAUCCUCGCGCUGGAGACGCGGGGCGCGGAGUCGCUUGCGAAGGCGGUCGAGAAGCGCGCGCUGGUGUCAUUGCCCGGCGUGUCGUCGCUGGCCACGUCGCUGGCCGCCAUGCGCGUGGCGGAGCGCACGCUGCGCAAUGUCCUCUUCCCCCCCGCGGGCAUGAGGGUGCAUAACUUUGUGAUGGACGAUGCGGAGGCGGCGAGGGGCGUGUUGCGCCUGGUCGAUGAGCAUCGCUUGCUGGUUGAGCUUGCCUGUGGGGUUUGUGUGGAGGGGGUGGUGGCGGGUGCAAAGCCCGGGGGGGAGGCGAAUGGCCAUGCCGAUGGCCAUGUGAAUGGGGGGCCUGUGGGCGGCGGUGGCUGUGGUGGUGGUGCGCUGCCGUCGAGACUUGCGCAGUUCAUCCCGGACUUCGGGCCGGAGACCCGUGUGGUUGUCGUUGUUUGUGGCGGGAGCAAUAUUACCCUUGAAGUGGCUGCGGAAUAUCGAGAGCGGCUUAAUACCGGCUGGGGCGCUGAGAGCGGAUGAAGGGUUUCUUUCUUACUUUCUUUGUGCGUUUUUCAUAUAAGGUAUUGUGUCUUGCGGGACUGGGUGUUGGGAGUAAGUUAGACAUGGGCGUAUUUCUCUCUUUCUUUUCUUUUCUUUUCUUUUCUCAUUCAAAGACGUAAUGUAAUGCACCUUUCUUGCGUGGGAUGUCCCAAAACAGAAAAUAAAAAAGGAUGAUAAAAAAGAUGUUAUGGCAUUUGAUGUUAAUAAAACAAAACAGUACAUUUCAUUAUUUUUCAUGUUCAUGACUUCCUUUUCAUAAAGUUAUCAUUCUUGCUCGCAUACCGUAGUGUCAUCUCUUACUCUGAGCAACUUGAUUCCAAAAAAGAAACAAAAAAAACAACCAACAACAACAAGCCCUUCCGGACACAUGCUGAGCCCCUGACUGGUUUUUCGCAUAUCGAAGCAAACCUCUUAGGCCACCGCAACGGACUCCCCAUCAAGCAUCCGAAGGCGAUAAGCCCAGUAAUUACUGC